rnacentral:rRNA from 1 species
CAGCCGCCGCGGUAAUACGGGGAGGGCAAGUGUUAUUCGGAAUGACUGGGCGUAAAGGGCGCGUAGGCGGCGAUCAAAGUCAGGCGUGAAAUUCCUGGGCUCAACCUGGGGGCUGCGCUUGAUACUUGGUUGCUUGAGUGGGGAAGAGGGUCGUGGAAUUCCCAGUGUAGAGGUGAAAUUCGUAGACAUUGGGAAGAACACCGGUGGCGAAGGCGGCGACCUGGUCCUUGACUGACGCUGAGGCGCGGAAGCGUGGGGAGCAAACAGGAUUAGAUACACCAGUAGUCCCGUCUCUUAUACA